rnacentral:misc_RNA from 1 species
UGGUUCUGGCAUNGAUGAAGAACGCAGCGAAAUGCGAUAAGUAAUGUGAAUUGCAGAAUUCAGCGAAUCAUCGAAUCUUUGAACGCACAUUGCGCCCGCCAGUAUUCUGGCGGGCAUGCCUGUUCGAGCGUCAUUUCAACCCUCAAGCACUGCUUGGUGUUGGGGCCUGCGGCGAGCAAUCGCCGCACCCCCUAAAAUCAGUGGCGGGCCCGCCUGGAUCCCGAGCGUAGUAGCACAUCUCGCUCGCGGAGCCCACGCGCGACACGCCGUAAAACCCCCAAAUUUUACAAGGUUGACCUCGGAUCAGGUAGGAAUACCCGCUGA